GGGUUGUGAGGUUAAGCGACUAAGCGUACACGGUGGAUGCCCUGGCAGUCAGAGGCGAUGAAGGACGUGCUAAUCUGCGAUAAGCGUCGGUAAGGUGAUAUGAACCGUUAUAACCGGCGAUUUCCGAAUGGGGAAACCCAGUGUGUUUCGACACACUAUCAUUAACUGAAUCCAUAGGUUAAUGAGGCGAACCGGGGGAACUGAAACAUCUAAGUACCCCGAGGAAAAGAAAUCAACCGAGAUUCCCCCAGUAGCGGCGAGCGAACGGGGAGCAGCCCAGAGCCUGAAUCAGUGUGUGUGUUAGUGGAAGCGUCUGGAAAGGCGCGCGAUACAGGGUGACAGCCCCGUACACAAAAAUGCACAUGCUGUGAGCUCGAUGAGUAGGGCGGGACACGUGGUAUCCUGUCUGAAUAUGGGGGGACCAUCCUCCAAGGCUAAAUACUCCUGACUGACCGAUAGUGAACCAGUACCGUGAGGGAAAGGCGAAAAGAACCCCGGCGAGGGGAGUGAAAAAGAACCUGAAACCGUGUACGUACAAGCAGUGGGAGCACGCUUAGGCGUGUGACUGCGUACCUUUUGUAUAAUGGGUCAGCGACUUAUAUUCUGUAGCAAGGUUAACCGAAUAGGGGAGCCGAAGGGAAACCGAGUCUUAACUGGGCGUUAAGUUGCAGGGUAUAGACCCGAAACCCGGUGAUCAGCCAUGGGCAGGUUGAAGGUUGGGUAACACUAACUGGAGGACCGAACCGACUAAUGUUGAAAAAUUAGCGGAUGACUUGUGGCUGGGGGUGAAAGGCCAAUCAAACCGGGAGAUAGCUGGUUCUCCCCGAAAGCUAUUUAGGUAGCGCCUCGUGAAUUCAUCUCCGGGGGUAGAGCACUGUUUCGGCAAGGGGGUCAUCCCGACUUACCAACCCGAUGCAAACUGCGAAUACCGGAGAAUGUUAUCACGGGAGACACACGGCGGUGCUAACGUCCGUCGUGAAGAGGGAAACAACCCAGACCGCCAGCUAAGGUCCCAAAGUCAUGGUUAAGUGGGAAACGAUGUGGGAAGGCCCAGACAGCCAGGAUGUUGGCUUAGAAGCAGCCAUCAUUUAAAGAAAGCGUAAUAGCUCACUGGUCGAGUCGGCCUGCGCGGAAGAUGUAACGGGCUAAACCAUGCACCGAAGCUGCGGCAGCGACGCUUAUGCGUUGUUGGGUAGGGGAGCGUUCUGUAAGCCUGCGAAGGUGUGCUGUGAGGCAUGCUGGAGGUAUCAGAAGUGCGAAUGCUGACAUAAGUAACGAUAAAGCGGGUGAAAAGCCCGCUCGCCGGAAGACCAAGGGUUCCUGUCCAACGUUAAUCGGGGCAGGGUGAGUCGACCCCUAAGGCGAGGCCGAAAGGCGUAGUCGAUGGGAAACAGGUUAAUAUUCCUGUACUUGGUGUUACUGCGAAGGGGGGACGGAGAAGGCUAUGUUGGCCGGGCGACGGUUGUCCGGUUUAAGCGUGUAGGCUGGUUUUCCAGGCAAAUCCGGAAAAUCAAGGCUGAGGCGUGAUGACGAGGCACUACGGUGCUGAAGCAACAAAUGCCCUGCUUCCAGGAAAAGCCUCUAAGCAUCAGGUAACAUCAAAUCGUACCCCAAACCGACACAGGUGGUCAGGUAGAGAAUACCAAGGCGCUUGAGAGAACUCGGGUGAAGGAACUAGGCAAAAUGGUGCCGUAACUUCGGGAGAAGGCACGCUGAUAUGUAGGUGAGGUCCCUCGCGGAUGGAGCUGAAAUCAGUCGAAGAUACCAGCUGGCUGCAACUGUUUAUUAAAAACACAGCACUGUGCAAACACGAAAGUGGACGUAUACGGUGUGACGCCUGCCCGGUGCCGGAAGGUUAAUUGAUGGGGUUAGCGCAAGCGAAGCUCUUGAUCGAAGCCCCGGUAAACGGCGGCCGUAACUAUAACGGUCCUAAGGUAGCGAAAUUCCUUGUCGGGUAAGUUCCGACCUGCACGAAUGGCGUAAUGAUGGCCAGGCUGUCUCCACCCGAGACUCAGUGAAAUUGAACUCGCUGUGAAGAUGCAGUGUACCCGCGGCAAGACGGAAAGACCCCGUGAACCUUUACUAUAGCUUGACACUGAACAUUGAGCCUUGAUGUGUAGGAUAGGUGGGAGGCUUUGAAGUGUGGACGCCAGUCUGCAUGGAGCCGACCUUGAAAUACCACCCUUUAAUGUUUGAUGUUCUAACGUUGACCCGUAAUCCGGGUUGCGGACAGUGUCUGGUGGGUAGUUUGACUGGGGCGGUCUCCUCCUAAAGAGUAACGGAGGAGCACGAAGGUUGGCUAAUCCUGGUCGGACAUCAGGAGGUUAGUGCAAUGGCAUAAGCCAGCUUGACUGCGAGCGUGACGGCGCGAGCAGGUGCGAAAGCAGGUCAUAGUGAUCCGGUGGUUCUGAAUGGAAGGGCCAUCGCUCAACGGAUAAAAGGUACUCCGGGGAUAACAGGCUGAUACCGCCCAAGAGUUCAUAUCGACGGCGGUGUUUGGCACCUCGAUGUCGGCUCAUCACAUCCUGGGGCUGAAGUAGGUCCCAAGGGUAUGGCUGUUCGCCAUUUAAAGUGGUACGCGAGCUGGGUUUAGAACGUCGUGAGACAGUUCGGUCCCUAUCUGCCGUGGGCGCUGGAGAACUGAGGGGGGCUGCUCCUAGUACGAGAGGACCGGAGUGGACGCAUCACUGGUGUUCGGGUUGUCAUGCCAAUGGCACUGCCCGGUAGCUAAAUGCGGAAGAGAUAAGUGCUGAAAGCAUCUAAGCACGAAACUUGCCCCGAGAUGAGUUCUCCCUGACUCCUUGAGAGUCCUGAAGGAACGUUGAAGACGACGACGUUGAUAGGCCGGGUGUGUAAGCGCAGCGAUGCGUUGAGCUAACCGGUACUAAUGAACCGUGAGGCUUAACCUUACAACGCCGAAGGUGUUU
rnacentral:rRNA from 1 species